rnacentral:rRNA from 1 species
AGUCGAGCGGAUGAAAGGAGCUUGCUCCUGGAUUCAGCGGCGGACGGGUGAGUAAUGCCUAGGAAUCUGCCUGGUAGUGGGGGAUAACGUCCGGAAACGGACGCUAAUACCGCAUACGUCCUACGGGAGAAAGCAGGGGACCUUCGGGCCUUGCGCUAUCAGAUGAGCCUAGGUCGGAUUAGCUAGUUGGUGAGGUAAUGGCUCACCAAGGCGACGAUCCGUAACUGGUCUGAGAGGAUGAUCAGUCACACUGGAACUGAGACACGGUCCAGACUCCUACGGGAGGCAGCAGUGGGGAAUAUUGGACA